rnacentral:rRNA from 1 species
GUGUCGGGGGUCGAACCUCGGUGCCGCAGUUAACACAAUAAGUAUUCCGCCUGGGGAGUACGAUCGCAAGAUUAAAACUCAAAGGAAUUGACGGGGGCCCGCACAAGCAGCGGAGCAUGUGGUUUAAUUCGAAGCAACGCGAAGAACCUUACCUAGACUUGACAUCCCCUGCAUAACCCAGAGAUGGGCGAAGUCCUUCGGGACAGGGUGACAGGUGGUGCAUGGUUGUCGUCAGCUCGUGUCGUGAGAUGUUGGGUUAAGUCCCGCAACGAGCGCAACCCUUAUCAUUAGUUGCUACCAUUUAGUUGAGCACUCUACUGAGACUGCCCGGGUUAACCGGGAGGAAGGUGGGGAUGACGUCAAAUCAUCAUGCCCCUUAUGUCUAGGGCUACACACGUGCUACAAUGGUGAGUACAAAGAGAUGCAAGACCGCAAGGUGGAGCCAAACUCAAAAACUCAUCCCAGUUCGGAUUGUAGGCUGCAACUCGCCUACAUGAAGCCGGAGUUGCUAGUAAUCGCGAAUCAGCAUGUCGCGGUGAAUACGUUCCCGGGCCUUGUACACACCGCC